rnacentral:misc_RNA from 1 species
AAACAGAAAGCUAGAAAAACAUUCAAAUGCAGUAUUGUCCAAACAAUCGCGAGGUAGCGAGGUUCUUUCAGAAUCUUCUCCAGAAAUAUCCACUUCUGGAAGUGAUAUAGCAUUGUCAAGGUAUACUCCCUCAAUGCCUCAGAGGCGGCUUUUUGGGUCCAUUCAAAGGGAAAGAUGCCUUGAAGGUGACCAUAUUUUCUUUUCAGAAGGGGACGCUACAAGUUGCUCAAACUUUGUUG